AAAAGUGCAAUGAAAAAGAAGAGUAAAUAGAAUUUUAAUUAUAAGAGAUCUAGGGAGGGUGUAAUCCUAGAAUUUAAAACUAUUGAAGGAAGCUUUGGAGUAAUAAAUAGAAAGCAUAAGGUCUAUGCCUUAAAGCGUAGUAUAUUUAUGGGGUUAUUCCCUUAAAGAUAAUUAAGCGGAUUUAAAUCAAACGUAUUUAAAAUUAAUAUGUUUAAAUUAAUCAAUUUGGGUGGUAACGCGGAAGUCAGCCUUUCGUCCUAAGU
rnacentral:ncRNA from 1 species